GGCGAGUGAUCAGUGUGUGUGUGUGGCAUCAACGCGACAUUGAAAAGCGUUGAGAAGUGAAACAGCUACGUAGCUAACAACAGAACUGGAAGGAGAAUCCAUUUCUCCUGGAAGUGAGAUCCAUUUCUCCUGACUCCACCAGUGCUUUUGGACCAUGUUUUGCUGUGACCUCCGAACUCCCUCUCACACAUUAGCCCGGUGACUGUCAGAGUCCCUGGCCGCCAAAGAACACGAAGAAGCAACAACGGUAAAGGUGUCUUUCUUCCUGAUACUGAGGCUGGACCAACAUAUAAUUCCUGAUGACUGCAUUGCACUCUUCUUCCUGAGGGAUCUUUGGGAAGCAGAGAGGGCACGUUCUCUGCCAUCAGGUAUUUGUGCAGUGUGUGUGUUUCUCUACUAAGUGCAUCUUUUCAUCAAAAAAUUACUGCUUAUACAGCAGCUCUAC
rnacentral:lncRNA from 1 species